AGGCGGGGGAGGCCGAGCCGAGCAGCACCAGCACGUCCUCUUCCUCCUUCAACUCCAAGGUCUCAGAUUUGACGAACAUCCUGGAGAAGAGAGCAGAGAGGGAGAAAGAACCAAACGAGGCGUCAGUAUAGAAGCAGAGGCAUGUUCUUGGUGUCACCGGGAUGUACUGCUGCGCGCACCCGAGAAGAACCCCUCGGAACGGCGCCAAGGAGGAAGGUUGCAGUGAGUGGCCAAGGAGGCAGCGUUUUCUGGAGUGCUUUCUCAUAGGCUUAUCUGUGGCUGAUACCUGAUGAAAACUGAGGAAAUAGGAACUACCUCUUGUGGAGGGGAAGCAGACCUACAGUGGGCCAGGCCCUGUACCAGGGAUCAUUGUGACGUUUGUGAAAGAAUCUUGGAAGAAACCUCACACACAUACCCUGUGUAAAGCAAAGGCAAUUGCUCCCUGAAAAGCAUCUACUGUGGACACCUGCACAGCUUUCGUAUCAGUAUGGUCGAAGUCCACAGCACUGAGUAAAUGACAGAGCUGUGGAGGAAAGAAGACAAGGCUCAUGUGGUGCAGACGUCAUGAAGAACCUACGCCUCUCAACCUACCCACAGCAGCUGUCAUCAUUUAACUAAUACUGACACCCAGACUGGCCUGGAUCAGAACUUGAUGAAGGAGAUGAUGCUACUUGUUGCAGCCGGAGACCCUAUGUGUCCAGUGUUGGUUCCCAAUAUCUGGGAUUAAGUGUCUGAGCCUCCUAGAUUCUUAGGAUAGAUUUCAGACGGACCCUGAAAGGAUUGGUUUGGUUUCUAAGAAAGCACCAAAGAUAAAAAUGAACUUGGAUAUUUUGCCUAGUGUCAGGCUUUCUCUUCCUCUGUUUCUCCUAGAAAAAAGCCAAGUUUCGUUUAACUUCCCAGGAAUCUAUUCCCACCUCUUCACUUUCCCCUUAAGCCUAUAAAAAGAUAUACAUAUAGGGAGAAAGAGAAAAGAUGACUCUGUCAUGGAGAGUUGGAUGUGUUCACAAAUUUGAAGAACGCUUUGCAAUAAAACGUGCACUGGAUAGACAGGCACACUUCAGUUGAAUCUGAGCUAUCACAGUCAUUUGUUUUAUUUAAGGGAAAUAAAUAGGAAUAAUACUCCUAUCAACAGGAAUAAAAGGGAUCUGAAUCGUAUAUAUAAAUUAAAUAAAUAAACAGACAAACUGAAGCUGUUUCCCCUCACCUGCUUCAGCAAGGUUUUAUUGGUCCCCAGUUUAUGCUGCUCAAUACUUUUCCUCACAUAGACUCUUUCCACAGGAGUCAGGUCUUCCUUUAUGAGUGCAUGUAGUUCUUUUAAUUGUUCAUUUUCAUUUUCUGAGCCAGCAUACAAACUUAAAAAAGAAUUACAUAAAAGAAUACCCUUUGAUUCCAUUUUCACAGCAUCACAAAAAAGUAAAAUACAGAUUUCCUAAAUUAACACCAAGAAAAAGAUACAGCUUUCUCUAGUCUUCUUCAGAAACCAGAUUUAAGGUUAAGACUUAUAUAAAAUUAUACUUCUGUGAACAUUCUGUGACUUUUGGAAUUUAGCGUUCUUACCUGUAAGGUAAAACUGGCUUGGCAAUCUUCCUGACACUCCCAACCCUGACAAACUUUUCAAAUCCAAGACUAAGAAGCCUUUAAAGAAAACAGGGUAAAAUAGAUUCUGAUUAUUUAGAAAAUGGAAUCUAAAAGUUUCACAUAAUAUUUACAUUAUUAAAAUUAACUUUGCAUAACAGUAUAUUUUAUAUUAUGUAGUUCAAUGUGAAAUGGCUAACCUCAAAGUAAAUAUAAUGUAGUUGAAAGACUUUUUUAUAAAAUGUGUUUCAGAGAAUUUUUAAAAAUGUAUUAUCUCUU